rnacentral:rRNA from 1 species
UACGUAGGGGGCAAGCGUUGUCCGGAAUCAUUGGGCGUAAAGAGCGUGUAGGCGGCCCGAUAAGUCCGCUGUGAAAGUCCAGGGCUCAACCCUGGGAUGCCGGUGGAUACUGUCGGGCUCGAGUCCGGAAGAGGCGAGUGGGAAUUCCCGGUGUAGCGGUGAAAUGCGCAGAUAUCGGGAGGAACACCAAUGGCGAAGGCAGCUCGCUGGGACGGUACUGACGCUGAGGCGCGAAAGCGUGGGGAGCAAACAGG